CGAUUUGGCGCGUAAUUUUAGUGGAAGGGGAAAUGUCGUUUCAGCCAAUUAGAAAGUCCUUAGGCAAUCCUAUAAUGCGUAGCAUCAUUGUUCUGUCGAAAAUCUUCGUGACGUGACGUGUUGCUGGAUUAACCUGUAUAAUAUUAACUACGCAAUUACUAUUAGUUGAUUGCAGGAUGCAGCAUAUGGGAAUAUAAAACACCAUGAUACGCCAUAUUGAUUACGUCAAACAGUCAACGUAUUAAUUUUUCAAGAAGAUUUGAACAUUUUUUUUUAUUACGACCAAGCGCAAUGUGGUCAAUAGAGUCAGUGUUUGUUGCGCAAUAGUAUUUUCAAUAUAUUUCAGUGUAUAAAACUUCUUAUUUAUUUUAAUUAUAAUAAUCAUUCGCGAAAUUAGAAUCAGUGUUUGUUCGCCUAUAAUAAUUUCAACAGUAAUAUCAAUAGUUUUUUUAUUUAUUUAUUUAUUUUUUUUAAUAUUCAUUUUCGGUACAUAUUAGAGUCAGUGCAUCAAGAAAAUAAAACAAUCAUCUAUCAUCAUA